CAGGUCAUUAAGGAGCAGGUAGGGGUUAGACAGUACAGAGACAGGUCAUUAAGGAGCAGGUAGGGGUUAGACAGUACAGAGACGGGUCAUUAAGGAGCAGGUAGGGGUUAGACAGUACAGAGACAGGUCAUUAAGGAGCAGGUAGGGGUUAGACAGUACAGAGACAGGUCAUUAAGGAGCAGGUAGGGGUUAGACAGUACAGAGACAGGUCAUUAAGGAGCAGGUAGGGGUUAGACAGUAGAGAGACAGGUCAUUAAGGAGCAGGUAGGGGUUAGACAGUACAGAGACGGGUCAUUAAGGAGCAGGUAGGGGUUAGACAGUACAGAGACGGGUCAUUAAGGAGCAGGUAGGGGUUAGACAGUACAGAGACAGGUCAUUAAGGAGCAGGUAGGGGUUAGACAGUACAGAGACGGGUCAUUAAGGAGCAGGUAGGGGUUAGACAGUACAGAGACGGGUC
ensembl:lncRNA